rnacentral:rRNA from 1 species
UACAGAGGCCUCGAGCGUUAUGCGGAAUCACUGGGCUUAGAGCGUGUGUAGGCGGACUUCUAAGUCCCUUGUGAAAUCCCACGGCUCACCCGUGGAACUGCUUGGUAUACUGGUUGUCUUGAGCCUUCUAGGGGCGAGUGGAACAAAUGGUGGAGCGGUGAAAUGCGUAGAUAUCAUUUGGAACGCCAAUGGUGAAAACAACUCGCUGGGGAAGUGCUGACGCUGAGACACGAAAGCCAGGGGAGCGAACGGG